rnacentral:tRNA from 1 species
UCUAAUGUGGCAGAAUUCAAUGUAAUGAAUUUAAGAUUCAUUUAUAAAUAUUUUUAUUUCUUUAGAA